rnacentral:misc_RNA from 1 species
GAGAGCAGCGAGCUUGGAAAGUUCACGACCAAAUAGGUAACUGGAGUUGAAUGGCGAACCCGAGGUCAUGGCUGGGCUUGUAUCUACUCGCGUCCUGUCUUGGUGUAAUUGCAAGCCAGGCGUGCCCAAAAGGUUGGAAAGGAUAUGGUAAUUCAUGCUAUCUGUUUGUCAUACCUACUUUACAACUUCGACAGAUGAGCUGGGAGGAUUCCAGAGCUAACUGUUUAGGUUAUGGAGCUGACUUGGCUUCCAUUCUUAAUUCAUCCGAAGUCAAUUUUAUCUACCAAGAAACUAGUUUGUUAGGCAACUAUAAUUUCUGGAUUGGCUUGUAUCGUAACAAAACGACAAGUGACCCAAAAGAGGGCUGGAUCUGGAGUGAUGGUAGUAAUUUUACGGACGCUCGCUGGCUGUACGGUGAACCAAAUAAUUAUCUGAAAAAUGAAAACUGUGCUGACCUCAACGCAAAAAGCAAAGGCUGGAAUGACAAUGAUUGUGCUAAACUAUUUUCUUCCAUCUGCAAAAGGAGAAAAGGCCUCCCUGAUCCUACCGUCCCUACUGCUGGCCCACUUCCUCCGACUAAAGAUCCGCCCCCAAGAUGCGAUGUUGGUUGGGUGGCAUUUAACAGAUCCUGCUAUCGAAUGUUUUCAAAUUGGAAAAAUUGGGAUAGAGCAAAAAGCGUUUGUCGAGAUACCGGAGGGCAUCUUGUCAGAAUUGAUAAUGAUAAUGAGCAACACUUCUUGGCAGAAUUAGUCCGCCCAACGCGUCAUAAUUAUUGGAUUGGCUUGCACUUUAACUCUGCUGGACAAUGGGUUUGGGAGUUUCGUUCCAAUGAUUCUUUGAAGUACAAAAAUUGGCAGUCUGGUGAACCAAAUAGUUUAGGAAAAGAACGAUGUGUAGAAAUGUAUGGUCAUGCUCAAGCUGGUUAUUGGAAUGAUGCCAGCUGCUAUGGUUGGAAAUCGUACAUUUGUGAGAAGGAAGAAGGGCAAAAUAUGUGUCCUGAAGGUUGGAUCCCGUACAAUGAUACAUGUUACCAAUUUAAUAUGCGACCCUCGCAAAAGAUGACUUGGACAGAAGCUGAAGCAGCUUGUAAUGCAAUUGGAAAUUUUGCAUCGCUUGUUCAAAUAAACAGUCAAAAUGAACAAGAUUUUAUUUCGAAACGACUUCAAUUGGUCUCCAGCGAAGACGUUUGGAUAGGUCUCAAUGAUCUGAAGAAUGAAAAUGUGUUCCGCUGGACAGCAACAAACGCAGAAUUGGACAGCAUCAGAUUUGCAAGUUGGGCGAAUGGCAAGCCGAUUGAAAAUGCGGAGAAUCGCGACUGCGUGGUGAUGUUAGGUAUUAGGAAAGAUGGCGCAUGGUCAGUUCAAGAUUGCGCACUAAAGCGCAACUUUAUCUGUAUGAGACAUAGAGACUUGCCGUUUUGUAAUGGGCCACUUGGAAUGGAAAAUGGGAAGAUAUCAGAUUCUCAAAUUACCGCUAGCAGUUUUUCUCCUGGAAAUGAACCAGCCCGUGCUCGAUUCCGACACAGUGGCGCGUGGUGUCCCGCGAAAGCAAAUAAGAAUGAAUAUCUUCAAAUUGAGUUGCCAUUCUUAGCUGAUAUAAAGAAAAUCGUCACUGAAGGAAACGUUUCAACGUACUUAUUAAGAGAAAGUAAAGAUGGGAAAACAUUCAAAGAUUUUAAACCUUAUGGACAUACAAAAGAAGUGCGUCCAACCAAAGACGGAGACUACUAUUAUUUUGCCCCAACAAAGGCAUUCAUAGCAAAAGUUAUUCGAAUUUUCCCAUCCUCCUGGAACAGUUAUCCUUGUUUGAGGUUGGAAUUCGUUGGUUGUCGUGCACAAGCUCCUACGUCGACAGAGUGCGAAGGAAAUAACUGGCAGAAAGGGCCAGGAAAACUUUGCUUUCAAAUUAAUAGCGAUUACAAAACGUGGGAAGAGGCCCGUUCCACGUGCUUAGAGCGCGGAGGUGACUUACUGACAAUUACAAAUGAAAAGGAAAAGGAAGCAGUAGCCGACCAAAUCAAGAAUUCGUUCCAUGAUUAUUACUGGAUUUCUCUUAAUGAUCGUGAUUAUCGAGAUAUUUAUGAUUGGAGCAACGGUGACGCAAAUGGACUAAUCAAUUGGGGAACCGGAGCUCCUGAUAACAGUGGGAAAAUCAAUAGAAAAGCGUGUGUUAGAAUGAAACGAACUGGGUUGUAUUGGAAAGAUGAAGACUGCUCUAAUCGUCGACCGUAUAUCUGCAUGAAAGGAGUGCAAUAUACUCCAGCAAACUUUGUCGAUUACAGUCCAACUGGAGUGUGGGUAAGCAGUGCUAAAUAUUAUUGGCCUCUGUCAGCAGUUGAAAACAACAUGAUACUCGGUACUACAAUUGGAAAGGUGAACGGUAAAGUAAUUCCGACAACAGGAGUGAGAGAAAAAGCGAACACAGCGUUACAAUUUACUGGUGAAGGGUCAUACAUAGACCUGGGAAGGUUUGAUAAAGAAUGUUUUGGCGAUCCCAAAUACUGCGGCUUUGGUUUAAGCCUGUCGUUUAUGGCUUGGUUCGAUACAUCUGUUAUGAGUUGGACGAAACAAGUGAACAUUUUGGGUUCGUCAGGAGAUGAGAAUACAUCCAAUAAAGGAAUCAGUGUCUAUAUUCUAAAUAAAAAUCUCUGGUUUGUGUUAUCGAGAACAGCUGAAAGUAAAAAAGUGUCUGUACCAUUAGUCGAUAACGAAUGGCGACAUUAUGUAAUGAAAUGGAACAAUUCUCUUGGUCUUCGUGUUUCUGUAAAUGGUAAAGAUAUUCCUAGCACAACAUACACUGGCAAGGGUAUUGACACUCCAGUACAAAAUUUUACAAUUGGAUUUCAGCAAGGCUCUGGUUUUAAAUCUGGUACAAUCAAAAUAGCUUCAGUUGCUUUCUGGGACGUAAUCUUGCCAAAUGAUGAUAUUUCAUCAAUUUACAAAACUGAAUUUGGGGCAUGUCCAUUUGGUUGGUUUGGAUUUGGAAAGUCAUGCUACCAGAUUAACAAAGAUAUGAAAUCGGUUUAUUAUGCGUCAAGAGAGUGCAAAAAUGCAGGGGGAGAUCUGAUGAAUAUUGAUACAAAUGUUGAACAAGCAUUUAUCCUAACUAAAAAAGAUGUGGCUGACUCUUGGUUUGGUGUCCACGAUCAAACAAAAGAAAGCAUUUUCGUUGGAAGCAAUGGAAAACGGUUGUCAUUUUCGAACUGGCAUCCGGGAGAACCGAAUAACGCACGUGGUUAUGAGGAUUGUACAUAUUUACAAGAAGGGGGAUCAUGGAGUGAUGCAUCAUGUUAUUACAGAAAAAAAUAUAUAUGUGAAAAAGAAAAAGAUGUGAAUCUAAAGCCAACUAAUUCUACAGCAACAGCAACGCCAGUCACAAGUAUCACAAAAACCGCUCUUGCUUGUCACUACACCCGAAUCACAAUUGGUUGUCCUUCUGACUUGGUUAUCAAAGUUAACUCUGCAUUUUGGGGAAGAAGAGAAAAAUCGAAAUGUACUUUUAUCAGUGUAAAGUCCUGUGGCGAGGAUGUGACGAAUAAUUUGAAGAAAAAAUGUGAUCAUUAUGAAAACUGCAAACUCCAUGCUUCUGAAACCGAGUCAUAUCUUAAUACUAUUUGCCCAAGUGUUCAUAAAUAUUUGGAAGUGAAUUUCACCUGUGUUAAUGAUGCAGUUAAAAAGACAUGUAAAUCUGGAUGGACAGAGUUUAAAGCUAAUUAUGGUCGCUGUUAUCGUUUAUUUGACACACCUAAAACCUGGAGUGAUGCCAGAGCGACGUGUAAGAAAGCAGGAGCUGAGCUACUUAGCAUUUCUCAAAGUUCAGAACAGCCUUUUGCCACGAGUCUUAUGGAACGAGCAUGGUACUCUCGAGUAUGGAUUGGAUUAAAUGAAAAAACAAAAGGGGUUUAUGAAUGGUCUGAUGGCUCCUCAGUGUCCUGGACGAACUGGUAUGUUGGACAGCCAGACGAAAGAGGGACAGAUAAGAGUUGUGUGUACAUGAGCCUGAUACGAGGUAAACGGGGUUGGAUGUAUUGGAAAGAUUCGAAUUGCACCAGGAAAUAUCCUUUCAUGUGUGGUUAUUUCAUUGUUCCUACACAAAAGCCCUCAGCUGUUCCCACAGUUUUUGAUGGAAAUUGCGAUGCUGGAUGGGUGACAGAUAGAAGUCUGGCCUACUGUUAUCAUUAUAAACCCGGAAUUUCUAGACCAAAUUGGUUGAACGCACAAGACGCUUGCCGUACCGAUGGGGCGAAUCUCGUAAGUAUUCAAAGUAAAGAAGAAAAUGAAUUUGUCAGGAAAUUAUCGAAAAAUGCAAUGUGGCUUGGGUUGGAGGCAAAGGGUGUAUUUCGAGGUCAUGUAUGGUCAGAUGGUCAACCUGUUCGCUAUACUAAUUGGUCUGUGGGUCAACCUGACAGCUACAAUGGUCUCGAGGCUUGCGUUGAAAUGAACCCAGAUACUGGAGUUUGGAGUGACAGAGAUUGUAAUGAGCAUAAAAAUGUGAUUUGUAAGAAAGCUAAAGGUCUUACGCCAGUCACCGCGACUCCUGUCACAUAUCCAACACCAGGUUCUUCCCUGUGUAAAAAGGGCUGGACACUUUUCCAAGGAAUGUGUUACAUUAAAGGGAACGAUUCAUCCAACGAAUAUUUAACAUGGCAGGAUGCUGAGAAAAAUUGCCGUCGUCUUGGUGGUAAUAACUGCCAUCUGGCUAGCGUAAACAGUCAAGAGGAGCAGGAUUUUCUUUCGUUUCUAAUAAAAGGCAGCAAAAGUCGAGAUUUUUGGAUUGGUUUGAAUGACCUUGGAACUGAAGCGGAGUACAAAUGGACAGAUGGUUCUUUGUAUAACUACGCAAACUGGAACUCGAAAGAACCGAACGACUUUAAUCGACAGGAAGACUGUGUUCAUUUGAUUCCGGAUGGAAAAUGGAAUGAUCACCAUUGUCAGUUAAAGCUAUCUUUUGUAUGCAAGACAUAUAAUGAAUCCUAUAAACCGCCUGUUAAACCAACAGCGCUACCUAAACCUCAACAUGAUGGCUACUGUCCCGAAGGAUGGAUUGCUCAUGCUAAAUAUUGUUAUCAGUUCCAUACUGACCCCAGUGAAUACAGAACCUGGGAUGACGCAAGAGACGCCUGUGAACAAGGUCACAAUUCAAGUUCUUUUGGUGAAUUAGCCAGCAUUCACGACGAGUUCGAACAAUCUUUUAUCACAAUUAACGUGAAAACUUCGACGCAACCGUUAUGGAUAGGUCUGAACAACAAACAUCUAAACAGGUAUUUGUGGGUUGAUAACACGGCUUUCAAUUACGUCAAGUGGAAUACUGGGGAACCGCCAAGUUGGGGGUGGAAUAGAUGUGCCGAGUUUGUUCCUUAUCCUUCAGCUGCUGGUCGGUGGAUUUCUGUUUAUUGCAGCCAAACAAACGGGUACAUUUGCAAAAAAGCUGCUUCAGACACACCAUUGACACCAACACCAACAGUUAAAGCAUCAAACUGUGCCAAUGGUUAUGAAAGUUAUGAAGAAUCUUGCUUCAAAUUUGUUAAGACUCCGAAAAAUUUCGAUGACGCCAGAGAUAUCUGCCAGAAUGACAAAGGGGAUUUAAUGGUGGUUGAUGAUCAAUUCAAACAAGCUUAUCUAAUCUAUACCUUGGAAAGAUAUAUUGGAAAUAUAUGGAUUGGUUUUCAUCGCCAACCAUACUCCCAGUUCAAGUUUGUCGACAACAGUUUAACAGCACACACAUAUUGGGGACCUGGUCAACCAAGCCGUCAACAAGAUCAACGCUCUUGUGUUCAGGCGAAUGUAACUGGAUCAAACUUCGGUGCCUGGGAUGACAUGGACUGUGGCAUUGCUAAUCCAUUCAUUUGUGAAAUUUAUAAAGGGGAGCCGAAAGUUACCAUUCCACUGAACGGAAGCUGCCAGGAUGGAUGGAGGUUUUACAAUAAGCACUGCUACAAGCAUUUCACGACGAGACGGUCUUGGGGUGCAGCUCAGUAUGAUUGUUCAAAAUAUGGUGCAGAUUUAGUCAGUAUUCACGACGACAGAGAACAAGAUUUCCUGAUGUAUUAUUACCAAGACCGAUCUCAAUUUUCCCUCUGGACAGGUUUGAAUGAUCGAGAUGUGGAGCGAGGGUAUCGAUGGGUAGACAACAGUCCAGUAGAUUAUAUAAAUUGGGAAGAUGGUGAACCAAAUGAUUACAACGGGCGUGAAAAUUGUGUGGAAAUGAAAUCCAAAUCUGGACGAUGGAAUGAUCUGUACUGCACGAACAAUCUUGAAUACAUGUGCAAGAAAAAUAUAGAAUGUUCCUCGGCUAUAUCUCUGGACACAUCAAUGGUAACAGUCACUGAUACUUACGAUGCUACCAGCAUGGGUGCAGAACAAGCGAUUUUAAAAGAUGAGAAAGACCAAUAUACUUCUUGGUGCACGAAUAACACAUCUGGGACAGCAAAAAUCAUGAUUGAUCUUAAUCAAUUGACUCGUCUAACUGGAAUUACAGUCAUGGGUCGAAGUAACCAGUUUGUCAAAUCUUUUCGUAUUGAUUAUGAACGUGAUGAAAAUUGGCGUAUAUUCUAUCCAAACAGAAAUUUCCAAAGUGCAAUACAACUAUACUCUGGGUUGCCCUCGACUAAGAAAUUCAGAUAUCCAUUCACAGCUGAUGGACUUUCUAUCACACCAAUCACUUGGACUGGGGAUCUGAUUUGUAUGAAGAUACGACUGUAUGGAUGUGCUUAUGUAUGUCGAAGGCAACUAUUCGCACCAUUUCCUACCAGAAUAAAAAAUGAUGUGAUAUCGGCAUCAUCAGCGAAAUAUCCAAUUAACGAACCAAAACAAACAGGGACACUUGGGCAUUCGUGGUGUGCUGAGAAAAACGAUAAAAACCAGUGGAUUCAGUUUACAUUUGACAAGGAAAAUGUUAUAUCUGUAAUUCGAACGUUCGGUGAUAGAAAGAAAAGUUACGUAACAAAGUACUCCAUACAAUUUAGCGAGGAUGGAACGAUAUGGACGGACUAUAUGGAGAAUGGAGUUAAACGGAUAUUCCAAGGAAAUAACAAUGCAAAUAGUCCUAAAAAACACACUUUAGCCUAUCCAAUCGAAACUUCGUAUGUUCGAAUUAUCCCAAGCAGUUGGAAUGAGAAUAUUUGUAUGAGAAUAGCGUUACUUGGAUGCGAGGCAGAUUGCAGUAACCCAUUGCUUUCUACGGAUAAAGUUUCGAAACCUAGAUAUUUAUCUUCGGAUGAAAAUUCAAAUCCUGAAUAUGCUUUAUUUAACAGUGGAAAUGCUUGGUGCACAGAUAAAACACCACUUAAAGAGCAAUACUUAGAGAUCAGGCUUGGUGUUAGAUACCGACUAUCCAAGAUUGGUACGCUGCCCAGCCCGGGAGAUAAUAACGAAGGUGGACAAAUAACAGCAUUUACCAUGAAAUACAAAAAAGGCAAAAAUUGGUUUGUUCAUGGUCCAAAAGGUGUAGAAAAGGUAAUGAUUGCCAUAAACCAGAAUGACAAAUCAAAACCAAUGUUUAAUGCCCUCACAGACUACGAGCGUAACCAGAAUGGCUUGUCUACAAAAGGAAUAAGAAUUUAUCCAGAAUCCUACACAGGAACACGGAUCUGCAUCAGAGUGGAAUUGUAUGGUUGUCUUGCAGGAGCUGAAAUCAUUCCAACGACUCGACCAACUGAGCAAAAAGUUGACAUAUCUUUUCGCAUCACGAGCAUUGAUUGGAAUGAUAAAAUGAGUGAUUCAAAAUCUAAAGAAUUUGCUGAAACAAGUGAAAAGAUUAUAAAAGCGGUGGAAACUGUAUACAGCGAAAGCGAAUCAUUUCGAAGUGCCAAAGUCCUUAAGUUGACGAAAGGAAGCGUUGUCGCCGUCAUUGAAUUGACAUUUAAUCCAGAAUUUGACGAUGAUGACAACGGCACGUUAAACCUGAAAGCUGCUGUGGAAAGUGGUAAAGUUGGAUCACUUAAAGUGGACAAAGAAUCGUAUAAAAAGCUAGGAGAAGGAAAUAUACAAGCUAGCACAGGAGACGACUCUGGCAGUCUUUCUCGUGGAGCAGUUGCUGGUAUCGUUAUUACUGUCCUAGUUUUGUUGGCACUUGCUGCUGGUGUUGCGUUCUUAUUUUAUCGUCGGCGGCAUCCGAAGAACGAUUUUGCUCCAACACAUUUCGAGAAUCCCAUGUCGUUUUCUUCAAAGGCUUACGAUAUAAAUGAAUAAAAAUAGCCGCGACAACGCGGAUAGCUUGAUUUAGCAAAAUUAUAAAUGAUAAAACGAUCGAUGUACAGAAUUUUCCCAGGCACAAUCAAUGUGCACAAUUCGUCUACGAUGACGAUAAACAGCUUCAAGAAUGACUGAAAGUUUAGGCUGUUAUUACUUCAUGGAAUAGAGUGUAAGGGCCUAAUUCCACGGGCGGUUUUUCUUGGCGAAAUGCGAAAUAUUUCGCCUGUUUCUUUUGAAUUUCGACCACUUGAAUAAAUUAAUUCUGCUUCAUUGCUCACAAUUCAAAAGAAGCAGGCGAAAUAUUUCGAAUUUCGCUUGAAAAUUUAACCCGUGGAAUUAGGGCUUAAGAAAACGGCUCAUUUUCCAGAUAUUUUCCGAAGUAUUGAAUAGCGGAUUGAAGGCAAAAACAAAUAGAACAAUGAUGUUAUUAACCAAAUAUUAUUUAAUAGAAUAAAUUUUUCGCUAUGUUCACAUGCUUGCCGAUGGGCCUAAAAAUGAAAUAAAAGCGUGCUUCGAGUAUGCACCGCAUGAAAUAAUAUCGGAAUCAACUAUUUGUGGAUUAUAGCCCUUUACAGUUUAUCCAGACUAGUCAGUACAAGAACCUGGGCAAAACUCAAUUUAUCGACUGCAAAAGUGAGUGACUGGAAUGACAUUUAUGAAUAAGUAUGUCGUUUGCUAAACUAGCCGUUUUAUUUCGUUUUGAAUGUAAGUAUUCCGAAUACAUGGUUGUUUUUGCCAGUUUAAUGUAUUCCAUUUCCCUAAAUGCAUCUAGUGUCCAAAGUGUGUGCCAAAUUUGGACAGGGAAAUUGAAAGAGAAAGAAAAAGCUCCUGCAAAGUGCAAAGUUGACGUCAUCAAAUCAUGUGGAUGUAUACCAGGCAAGAAAUGCCAAGUAUUUUAUCCAUGUGUUUGGCGAAUACUACUUUACUCCCAAUAAUCCAGACCACGCGAGGACAGAUUUCCUCGCAGGAUAAUCCUAUGGAUAAUCCAU